rnacentral:rRNA from 1 species
AAAUUGAAGAGUUUGAUCAUGGCUCAGAUUGAACGCUGGCGGCAGGCCUAACACAUGCAAGUCGAACGGUAACAGGAAACAGCUUGCUGUUUCGCUGACGAGUGGCGGACGGGUGAGUAAUGUCUGGGAAACUGCCUGAUGGAGGGGGAUAACUACUGGAAACGGUAGCUAAUACCGCAUAACGUCGCAAGACCAAAGAGGGGGACCUUCGGGCCUCUUGCCAUCGGAUGUGCCCAGAUGGGAUUAGCUAGUAGGUGGGGUAAAGGCUCACCUAGGCGACGAUCCCUAGCUGGUCUGAGAGGA